rnacentral:rRNA from 2 species
AGCAACAAAUGCCCUGCUUCCAGGAAAAGCCUCUAAGCAUCAGGUAACACGAAAUCGUACCCCAAACCGACACAGGUGGUCAGGUAGAGAAUACCAAGGCGCUUGAGAGAACUCGGGUGAAGGAACUAGGCAAAAUGGUGCCGUAACUUCGGGAGAAGGCACGCUGACACGUAGGUGAAGUGAUUUACUCAUGGAGCUGAAGUCAGUCGAAGAUACCAGCUGGCUGCAACUGUUUAUUAAAAACACAGCACUGUGCAAACACGAAAGUGGACGUAUACGGUGUGACGCCUGCCCGGUGCCGGAAGGUUAAUUGAUGGGGUCAGCGUAAGCGAAGCUCCUGAUCGAAGCCCCGGUAAACGGCGGCCGUAACUAUAACGGUCCUAAGGUAGCGAAAUUCCUUGUCGGGUAAGUUCCGACCUGCACGAAUGGCGUAAUGAUGGCCAGGCUGUCUCCACCCGAGACUCAGUGAAAUUGAACUCGCUGUGAAGAUGCAGUGUACCCGCGGCAAGACGGAAAGACCCCGUGAACCUUUACUAUAGCUUGACACUGAACAUUGAGCCUUGAUGUGUAGGAUAGGUGGGAGGCUUUGAAGUGUGGACGCCAGUCUGCAUGGAGCCGACCUUGAAAUACCACCCUUUAAUGUUUGAUGUUCUAACGUGGACCCGUAAUCCGGGUUGCGGACAGUGUCUGGUGGGUAGUUUGACUGGGGCGGUCUCCUCCUAAAGAGUAACGGAGGAGCACGAAGGUUGGCUAAUCCUGGUCGGACAUCAGGAGGUUAGUGCAAUGGCAUAAGCCAGCUUGACUGCGAGCGUGACGGCGCGAGCAGGUGCGAAAGCAGGUCAUAGUGAUCCGGUGGUUCUGAAUGGAAGGGCCAUCGCUCAACGGAUAAAAGGUACUCCGGGGAUAACAGGCUGAUACCGCCCAAGAGUUCAUAUCGACGGCGGUGUUUGGCACCUCGAUGUCGGCUCAUCACAUCCUGGGGCUGAAGUAGGUCCCAAGGGUAUGGCUGUUCGCCAUUUAAAGUGGUACGCGAGCUGGGUUUAGAACGUCGUGAGACAGUUCGGUCCCUAUCUGCCGUGGGCGCUGGAGAACUGAGGGGGGCUGCUCCUAGUACGAGAGGACCGGAGUGGACGCAUCACUGGUGUUCGGGUUGUCAUGCCAAUGGCACUGCCCGGUAGCUAAAUGCGGAAGAGAUAAGUGCUGAAAGCAUCUAAGCACGAAACUUGCCCCGAGAUGAGUUCUCCCUGAGACUUAGAGUCUCCUGAAGGAACGUUGAAGACGACGACGUUGAUAGGCCGGGUGUGUAAGCGCAGCGAUGCGUUGAGCUAACCGGUACUAAUGAACCGUGAGGCUUAACCUUACA